AUACGGAGGAUCCAAGCGUUAUCCGGAAUCAUUGGGUUUAAAGGGUCCGUAGGCGGGCUAUUAAGUCAGAGGUGAAAGUUUGCGGCUCAACCGUAAAAUUGCCUUUGAUACUGGUAGUCUUGAAUUAAUAUGAAGUGGUUGGAAUGUGUAGUGUAGCGGUGAAAUGCAUAGAUAUUACACAGAACACCAAUUGCGAAGGCAGAUCACUAAUAUUAUAUUGACGCUGAGGGACGAAAGCGUGGGUAGCGAACAGGAUUAGAUACCCUGGUAGUCCACGCCGUAAAACGAUCAUCACUCGCUGUUGGCGAUAUACUGUCAGCGGCCAAGCGAAAGUAUUAAGUGAUGCACCUGGGGAGUACGCCGGCAACGGUGAAAACUCAAAAGGAAUUGACGGGGGCCCGCACAAGCGGUGGAGCAUGUGGUUUAAAUUCGAAUGAUACGCGAGGAACCUUACCAGGGCUUAAAAUGUAAAGUUGCAUUAGUUAGAGAUAACUAUUUCUUCGGACCACUUACAAGGUGC
rnacentral:rRNA from 1 species